rfam:Sorghum bicolor cultivar BTx623 chromosome 2, whole genome shotgun sequence.
UUAGUUGGAUUGACAUCAAUCCACAUGUGUUGGGGUGGAUUUAAGUGGAAUUUAAACUAAAUUUUACCCCAAUCCACUUCAAUACAUAUGGAUUGAAGUGAAUUCGACA